rnacentral:rRNA from 1 species
GACGAACGCUGGCGGCGUGCUUAACACAUGCAAGUCGAACGGAAAGGCCCUGCUUGCAGGGUACUCGAGUGGCGAACGGGUGAGUAACACGUGGGUGAUCUGCCCUGCACUUCGGGAUAAGCUUGGGAAACUGGGUCUAAUACCGGAUAGGAACCAUCUUUAGUGUGGUGGUUGGAAAGUUUUUUCGGUGUAGGAUGAGCUCGCGGCCUAUCAGCUUGUUGGUGGGGUAAUGGCCUACCAAGGCGGCGACGGGUAGCCGGCCUGAGAGGGUGUACGGCCACAUUGGGACUGAGAUACAGCCCAGAGUCCUACGGGAGGCAGCAGUGGGGAAUAUUGCACAAUGGGCGCAAGCCUGAGGCAGCGACGCCGCGUGGGGGAUGAAGGCCUUCGGGUUGUAAACUCCUAUCGCUAGGGACGAAGCUUUGUUGUGACGGUACCUAGAUAAGAAGCACCGGCUAACUACGUG